AUUCAGGUCAUCUCGGGACGGUGCUUAUGCUUCAUGUUAGGGUUUAGACUUUAGAUUUCGUAAGGGAGCCGGCGCCUCCUGCUUUGUGUCUCCGCUUUCCGGAGGAGUACUCUCCGCUGCUUGGGAGUUUCUGUUUCUCAAACUUUUCUGCUCUCUCUUUCUGUCUUGUUUCCCCUCACAUUGAUUUUCGAUUCGACUAUACGGGUGUUCGCCUCCAUGUAUUCACAAUUCUCCCCACUCUAAAUGGCAAAUGAUGAAGAAAAUCUUAUCCUACAUACUGAAGUUCCUGUGUGGACUAUAUAACUCCGCUUAUUAUCUGAUGCCAAUAUUUUAUGAAUUCCGUGGUGACGACGAGUGAACAUUUUUAGAAUUAAUGUGGAUGGGGUCGCCGUUGUAGCAGGAGAAAUGCUUCAGGCUCCGCCGGACUUCCGAGGGCAAAUUAUGAGAAUUCUGGCUUGAUGAUAACACUCGCAAUUCACUCGUAAAUCUAUUUCGGGGGUAAUUGACUUGUAAGCGUAAAUCAAGUUCAACUUAUUUGAUUCAAUUUUCAGUAUGUAUAUUGUACUCUGUGUUCUACAGCCUAAAGAUGGCUAGAAGAAAUCAUUGCUCUUGUCUUCUAAUAUUUAACCACUAGUGCACAUUUUUAUUCGCCAUUUAA